rnacentral:tRNA from 1 species
AGCUGGUUAGCUCAGUCGGUAGAGCACUCGCCCUGUAAGCGAGAGGUCCUGGGUUCAAGCCCCGGACUGACUG